rnacentral:rRNA from 1 species
AGAGUUUGAUCUUGGCUCAGGAUGAACGCUGGCGGCAGGCCUAACACAUGCAAGUCGAGGGGUAGAGGGUGCUUGCAUCCUUGAGACCGGCGCACGGGUGCGUAACACAUAUGCAACCUACCUUCCACAGGAAAAUAGCCCAGAGAAAUUUGGAUUAAUGCCCCAUGGCACAGCGAGACGGCAUCGUCUUGCUGUUAAAGUAACAACGGUGGAAGAUGGGCAUGCGUCCCAUUAGCUAGUUGGUAAGGUAACGGCUUACCAAGGCUAUGAUGGGUAGGGGUCCUGAGAGGGAGAUCCCCCACACUGGUACUGAGACACGGACCAGGCUCCUACGGGAGGCAGCAGUGAGGAAUAUUGGUCAAUGGUCGCAAGACUGAACCAGCCAUGCCGCGUGCAGGAUGACGGUCCUAUGGAUUGUAAACUGCUUUUGUACGGGAAGAAACACUCCUACGUGUAGGGGCUUGACGGUACCGUAAGAAUAAGGAUCGGCUAACUCCGUGCCAGCAGCCGCGGUAAUACGGAGGAUCCGAGCGUUAUCCAAAAUCAUUAAAUUUAAAAAAUCCAUAAACGACCCUAUAAGUCAGCGGUGAAAUCUCCCAACUCAACCGGGAAACUGCCGUUGAUACUGCAGGGCUUGAAUUGCCGGGAAGUAACUAGAAUAUGUAGUGUAGCGGUGAAAUGCUUAGAUAUUACAUGGAAUACCGAUUGCGAAGGCAGGUUACUACCGGCGUAUUGACGCUGAUGGACGAAAGCGUGGGGAGCGAACAGGAUUAGAUACCCUGGUAGUCCACGCCGUAAACGAUGGAUACUAGCUGUCCGGCGCAAGCUGGGUGGCUAAGCGAAAGUGAUAAGUAUCCCACCUGGGGAGUACGAACGCAAGUUUGAAACUCAAAAGAAUUGACGGA